CGGUAACAGGGUAGCAAUACCGCUGACGAGUGGCGCACGGGUGCGUAACGCGUAUGCAACCUACCUGUAACUGGGGAAUAGCCUCCCGAAAGGGAGAUUAAUACUCCAUAAUAUACUGAAGAGGCAUCUCUUUGGUAUUAAACCUCCGGGGGUUACAGAUGGGCAUGCGUUGCAUUAGCUAGUUGGUGAGGUAACAGCUCACCAAGGCGACGAUGCAUAGGGGUUCUGAGAGGAUAUACCCCCACACUGGUACUGAGACACGGACCAGACUCCUACGGGAGGCAGCAGUAAGGAAUAUUGGUCAAUGGACGCAAGUCUGAACCAGCCAUGCCGCGUGCAGGAUGACUGCCCUAUGGGUUGUAAACUGUUUUUGUACGGGAAAAAACCUCCGGACGUGUCCGGAGCUGAUGGUACCGUAAGAAUAAGGAUCGGCUAACUCCGUGCCAGCAGCCGCGGUAAUACGGAGGAUCCUAGCGUUAUCCGGAUUCAUUGGGUUUAAAGGGUGCGUAGGCGGGAUAAUAAGUCAGUGGUGAAAGCUUCCGGCUCAACCGGAAAACUGCCAUUGAUACUGUUAACCUUGAGUGCGUUUGAAGUGGGCGGAAUGUGCAGUGUAGCGGUGAAAUGCUUAGAUAUUGCACAGAACACCGAUUGCGAAGGCAGCUCACUAAACCGUAACUGACGCUGAGGCACGAAAGUGUGGGGAUCAAACAGGAUUAGAUACCCUGGUAGUCCACACUGUAAACGAUGAUUACUCGUUGUUUGCGAUAUACUGU
rnacentral:rRNA from 1 species